AUUUGCAUUUUCUUUCUCCUUUCAUUAAAACCUAAUCACCUGCUCUUAAUUUCACCGUGUCAACUCCAAAUGUUUCAAACCCCAAUUUCACAUCCACCAUGAAUCAUUCUUCACAACCCGAAACACCUCCACCCUCUGAUUCCAUCACCUCGUCACAAUCCGAACCGCCACCAUCGUUUGAUUCCGCCGCCAAUCCAUCAUUUCCCGAACCAUCUCCAUCGUCCUAUUCCACCACGCUAUCCGAACCACAGUCACCACCUUCUUUGUUCCAUUCCUCAGAUACUCAAACCCCCGAACCAAGUGUUCGGUAAAAGUUCUGAACCGAGAUUCUUCUUCCUCUAUUUUGUGAUGAAAAUUUCGGAGUUGCUGUUAUGAAACAUUAAGUUAUCCAAGUUGAAUAGAAAAAUAUCAUUGCAUGUCUUAGCGACUGUGCCUCGUUCCGUUGGAGCUCUUUCCAGAAUACAAGUGCUUUGGUUUAAGAGUAGAAAUUGAAGUGCUAAUCAACAAAUGGGUUGAGGAUGCGAUUCUCAUUCUUCUUCAGACCAAAGUGAUGCCCAUUGUUGAUGCAAAAAGAGAAGGAGCAAUUGCAAUAUUUGGAGAAAAAUAUGGUUAAGAGUACAAGCUGAUGUGAAAGAGGAUAUAUUGAGCAUGGUGGUCGAUAGUCGGUGAUAGCUUCUCGUUCCACUCAAAUCACUAAAUGCAACCAUAAUCUACAUCUUGCAGAAAAACUAGGAAUUUGAAACACCUUUUUGUUGAAGGAACUCUACCACUAGAGCUUCUGAACCUUGUUCACAUAAAGUCUACGUAAGCACUAGGAGAAUUGGUUAUUUGGGGGUCUGAGAGUCUAGGUGCGAGGCAUUUGGAAUUGAUUUAGCAAGCUUGUUAGGAAGUUAUUAUUUUGGUAGGAGUUUUGAACUCCGAUUUAUUGCUUUCUACUGUUGUAGAGCUCUUGAGCUCAUCACUUUAUGUUCAAUAAUAUACUGUUGCAUCUUCAAUUUACUGAGUUCUAUCUUUCCGUGUCUGGCCUUUAAUUUGAAUUGUCGGUGCUACAAAGGAAACUUGUUUAGUCUAAUUUAAGGGCUUUGAAGGCGGUGGUGAGGAUUCAAGCACUAAUUAGGGGUAGGCAAGUGAGUAAGCAAGCUUGCAUGCAUUGGUUCGUGUUCAGGCUCGAGUGAGAGCUCGGCGGGUGAGGAUGUCUAUGGAGGGACAAACUGUGCAGAAUAUGCUUAAUGAGCAGUGUACAAACCUUGAACUUUUGAAGGAUGCUGAGGUUUGUAUCAUGAAUUGACAAUGGGAAGUUUUCAUGUUUUUUAGCUUUGGUGCUGUUUAAGGAGUAUGUUUUGUGUAUGGCAGGAAGGGUGGUGUGAUAGUAUUUGAGAUUUUUAGCAGCAAUACAGGCCAACCUCAAGCUCUAAUUCACAAACAACCGUCUCGUUUUCCUUUCUCAAGAAUCCUGAGAUGAAAAAAUAAUGGAGGAUGGAGUUGGUUGGAAAGAUGGAUGGCAUCCAAGCCUUGGGAGACAAGAUUGAUGGAACAAUCAUACACCUUAAACCCCUUUUCAGUAUUAUUCUUUGGAUAUCACUUACUUUAAGUCUAGUCUUGAUUCACACCUUUUGGAUCUUCUGUGGAAUAAAUAUUAGGUUGAAACACGGAAGCAUGGUAACAGUGCAGUUGGAGAUGGAGCUUUUUUAGAUUCAUCUGCUGCGUUUUCUGACAAAGUUGGUGAAUGGAACCCGGGGUUUGAGUUCAGUCCUAUUUCUGCAUCUCACAGCCUACAGCUAGGUUCGAAAGGUGAAUCAAGUGAAAAUGGAGAUGGGUUUACUAUGUUCAAUCAAACUUUUGGGAAGUUGACAAAUGCACAUUCAUGGCCAGGAUUAAAUCAAACUUUGGAAGCACCGAAAAAGGAUAAUAUAUAUCCCACUUCUAUAGAAGCACUCAAUGAUGAUGGUGGAGCUUCCCUUGGUACUGUUGAUCCAUCUCUUGCAUCACAAUCUCAUCAAUCUAAUGUGUGGGGCUUUGAUUUUAAUUUCAAAUCUAGUUCCAUGGCCGAAAACAAUCUAUUUUCAGAGUCAUACUCUGUAACGGAAAAAAGCCACGAUGAAAACAACAAAAGCAGUGCCUCUCCAGCCAGUGUAAAUGUUGAUUCAGAUGUCAAUUUGUUUGAAUCAAAAGACACAGUCACGGAAGUAGGAAUAAAAAAUGAGGUACUGAAUCAGUUUGAGUAAUUCAACUUGUAUACGUUUAAUUUUUUUUAUUAAGGAUAUUCAAUCUUGAGUUCUUAAACUCUGCUGCCAGAGCUUCCUUGCAGGUUAAUUCUUGUACUUAUUUUUGUGUUUGGCUUGCAAGUUACCACACUUAUUUUUAUGUGUUUUGAAUUGUGCGAUUGACUAAAAUGUGAUGAAUUAUCACAAAAGACUCUCUACCUUUAAUUUCAUGUUAUAUCCAAGCUAAGUUAGGUGAAUAUGGUUGAGAGAAUGCAUCACAUACAAUCAAAUGCAAAUAGCUUAUUUUUGUGUUUUUAUUAAACAAGCAAAUGUUUUUUGAUGUUUCUUUUUUCUCUGAAUAUUCUUUUGGUCGUUAUCUCUAGAUGUAAUGGAACUGUCUAAACUCAGAACACAUGUCGAGGGGUGAGAAUUUUUUUUAUCUUUGUAUAGCAUUAACAAGCUUCUAGCUUUUGUCAAACAGAAAAGUUCCUCUACUCUACUGAAAAUGGCAAGAGAUGAAGAACAUGGAAUUUUACUUUCUGCUAUACAAUAUGAAUGAAUAGUGACAGUUCCAACCAAACAUGAAAGUCUCACAAGAAUAGUUCUUAUUAAGUUAUAGUAUUUUAUUCCCUCAUAAAUCAUUUGACUGUUGAAAGUGAUAUGAACAAUAAUGGUUUGAACAGAACAUGAAUCUUAUCCUAAUAUUUGGUAUUGUGGUUAUUUAUUGACAGAUCCACAGUGGUUUCUCCAACUAAAUUGUUGGAUUCACACUCUAUUUAAUUCCAAAAUUCCAUGGGGUAAUGCGGGAAAACUGCCCCACAAACUCCAAUCCGUCGACGCGACCGUCCGCGGCAUUCCAACUAAAUUGUUUGUGUUUAUGGAUUAUUUGCACAGGUACAUAUUAGAAAGGAUAACUCAGCAGUCUCUUCUCAUAGAUAUUGGAGUCAAUCAACACAAGAGCCAGUCUCCUUGUUGGACCAAAGAGAUUAAUCCGUUGUGUAUUAAUUAACACUGAAUAUAUUGCAGGCUCUGAGUGAGAAAGGCUAUGAACUUGUUUCUGGUGGGACUGAAAAUCAUCUAGUUUUGGUGAAUAUGAAGAAAAAGGUAACCCGAUAACUACUUUGACUUUGCUUGAGAAGAUGAAGUCGGUGUACACGAAUGUAGAAGGUCUUCCUCCGGAUUGAAUUGUGGAAAACAAUUGCUUCUCCAGGGCGUGAUAUUUUGGCCAUGGAUGAAUCCAAUAGUACAUGUGGAAAGCGGUUAGAUUCAAUUGGACUAGAGAACAACCGAAGCUAACCGUCAAGCAUGGCGUAAAAUUAUAUAUGAAGAAAGUGUUAUGACUUGGUUAAAAUAUAAUUUUUAUGUGUAUGAUUUUAUAGUACUUGAAAUAUUAUGAAUGCACAUGAUUUUGUAUACUUUUGGUUAAUAUUAAAAAUAUUUUGACUUAGUUAAAAUA